GUGCUGUAUUCGUAGCCCCUGAACUUCAGACCCCAAAUCUUACGGCCACAGUUCUGUAGACCCUCUGGCCCGGCCAGGCUUGGAGCCUGGUACACCGUUAUCCGUUGUGCAGAGAAGGGCUCUGAAGAAACCUGGGACCACCCUUGGAGAGCAUCCCCUGCUUUGUAAGAUAAAAGAAACAUUUUGUCCUGA